AUCGCAUCAACACUCGUCUGUU
rnacentral:miRNA from 2 species